rnacentral:lncRNA from 1 species
UGGAAAUAGUUCGGUUUGCUUGUUUAUUUAAGUACAGACGCGACUGCGAAGAGUCGGGGCAAAACGGCAGCGCAGCUGCGCGGGAGUCGUUCUGAAAAUAGAGCGUACGGAGCUGCGCCUCUUAGGGCUGAGACUGCGCCGUGUGCUGAGCUGCACCCGGGGAGGAGGGAGCCAGCCGGCGGCCCAGCUCUAUGCUCUUCAUUUUGCUCUGCAGAAACAGCUCUAGGUUUGGCCAGGAGCAGGAAAGGAAUGCGUUUAUCCUGCGCUGGGCUGCGCGUAAAGUGGGCGCUGUGGGAUGCCGUGUUUCUGCGCCUCGGCUCCUUCUUCUCUGGAAAGAGUAGCAAAGAUCUGACUGUAAAAGCAGGUUUGCAGGCAGACAGGAAGGACUGCCCCUGAGAAGUAAAGGGGCUUUUAUUUCCAGGAGCACAUUGGGCCCAGAGAGAGGAGGAUGAAAGGGUGCAGUCCCUGGCUUGAUGUGAUGAUGGUGGCUUGAAGGGGACCCGCCAGAACUCCGAGAUUCAGCCCUAGGCGCACCUCCUUCCUUCCCCGCCCCCCCCGGCACCGACGAGGAGAGGCAUCAUCCAGCCCCGCUCCCCGAGGCUCCUCGCCUGGCCUCGUCCCGGCUUGGCAGUGCUGCACAUGGAGCUUCUCCC